CCUACGGGAGGCUGCAGUGGGGAAUAUUGGGCAAUGGGCGCAAGCCUGACCCAGCAACGCCGCGUGAAGGAAGAAGGCUUUCGGGUUGUAAACUUCUUUUCUCAGGGACGAAGCAAGUGACGGUACCGGAGGAAUAAGCCACGGCUAACUACGUGCCAGCAGCCGCGGUAAUACGUAGGAGGCAAGCGUUAUCCGGAUUUACUGGGUGGAAAGGGCGUGUAGGCGGGAAAGCAAGUCAGAUGUGAAAACCAUGGGCUCAACCUGUGGCCUGCAUUUGAAACUGUUUUUCUGGAGUACUGGAGAGGCAGACGGAAUUCCUAGUGUAGCGGUGAAAUGCGUAGAUAUUAGGAGGAACACCAGUGGCGAAGGCGGUCUGCUGGACAGCAACUGACGCUGAGGCGCGAAAGCGUGGGGAGCAAACAGGAUUAGAUACCCUAGUAGUC
rnacentral:rRNA from 1 species